CGCACCUUGCGCUCCUUGGUAUUCCGAGGAGCAUGCCUGUCUGAGUGUCGCGAACAUCCUCAACCUCUGGGUCGGAAAGACCCAGAGUUUGGAGUUGGAGGUCUUGCCGGACCCGAAAGGUCGGUUGUCCGGCUCCUCGCCAAAUGCAUUAGCCGCGGAAGCGCUCGAGGCUCGCCGGCGUGAUAAAAAUCCGUCUACGUCGCAAGCCCGUCCGCGUCCUCCCGGCCGCUAGCCCGUCCGCAAGGACAAAAACGCCUAGGGAGCGAUCCCCCGACGUCUCUAGACCUCAGAUCAGGUAGGACUACCCGCUGAACUUAA
rnacentral:misc_RNA from 1 species